rnacentral:lncRNA from 1 species
UCCAACUCAAAUUCAACACAAGGAAUCCACUUGUUGCGGAGAAGGUAGUCAACUUCUUUGGCCAAUUCAACGUCAGUAAGGUCAGGAAGAUAAGAGAGAGUCUCAAACUUCUUCUUUCCAACUGGUGGCCACACCUAUAAAUCCCAUUUGCAGUUAAUAAAUAGGAAUUCCCUUUUGUAUAUACACAUUUUUCAAUCCGGUACGUUAUUAUAUACUAUUGUUCACUCGGAUUUUCACAUGUACCAGUUCCACAUAAUAAAGGACGGGCCUACAACUCUAGUGAUAUUUACCUUCAUGCAGCUAACUCUUCCUCCGUUGUUUGCAAUGGAAGUAAUAUCAGUGUUGCUUUUGCGGGUGACUGGGAAUGCAGCGGAUGACUUCAAGCCGGUGAAUGGAGCAACCAUGGUGGCUUGAGCCGGUGAGGUAGCCACAGCGGCGGAGGAGAGCAUAGAGGAAGCCAUUAUUACUUCUUUUUCUCUUUUCUAUUACUUGUUUCUCUAUUGCUUUGGUCAUCUAUAUAUAGUGAGGCCGGCAUGAGGCAUAAAGCCCUUAGAUCAAAGAGUGCGGGAUUCAUGUCUGAUGAUAACGUCGUUACCUGCCACAGGAUUAAGGAAAGGUGUUGUCUUGGGAGUCUGCAAUACCUUUUUUCACCAGACCAGACAUUGCCUUCCCGGUAAAUCGUCUAGCUCAAUUUCUGCAGCGACCUACAGACCUUCACUGGCAAGCAGUCAAGCGAAUUCUUCGCUAUCUGGCUGGUACGUCUGCUCAUGGGAUUCUCAUUCGUCCUGAUACACCAUUGAAGCUCCACGCAUACUCCGAUGCCGACUGGGCAGGCGAUGCUGACGAUUAUUGCUCCACAAACGCCUAUAUCGUGUACCUUGGGAGCAAUCCAAUUUCUUGGAGCUCAAAGAAGCAAACGGGAGUGGCUCGCUCGUCUACGGAAGCCGAAUACAGGGCCGUCGCCAAUGCAGCAGCGUAACUACUCUGGGUAUGUUCGCUUUUCACUGGGCUGCGUAUACCGUUACCAGAGAUGCCAGUGAUAUACUGUGAUAAUGUUGGUGCCACCUACCUUGCUGCCAAUCCUGUAUUUCACUCGAAGAUGAAGCAUAUAGCCCUUGAUUUUCACUUUAUCCGGCACCAUGUGCAAUCUGGAGCGCUACGAGUCUCCCACCUCUCGACUAAGGACCAGUUGGCUGAUGCUCUCACUAAACCACUUCCUCGACCGCGCUUCCAAGAACUUUUGUGCAAGAUUGGAAUCACUCAUGUUACUCCAUCUUGAGGGGGUGUAUAGGAGAUAUAUGUCAUUAGGGUCAUAACUGUAAUUAGUCAAUACCUAAUCACUUAUGUACUCUGUAUAAAUACUGUACUUGUACAUAUUAAUAAGAUAUUCAACCUCCAUUUAUACAUCUAUCAUCUUUCUAUUUUUCUCUUUAUUAUCUCCAAUAUCCAAGUCUAUACUUUUCGGAAAUCUUCAUUUUCCCCUUUUUUUUUCCCUUAUUCCUCUCAAAGCAAGUAAACCUUCAUUGAUUUGGGCUUUCAUUUCAAAAUGUUUUAUGAUUUAGGUCUUUUAAGUAUUUCCUGAAAAUGUCGUCGUUUCACUCCACGGUUAUUUUGGUGUCGUUGGAUUACGAAAUGAUGAAAAUAAUUUUUUUGUCGAAAAACUAUUUGUUGUUUACGUUUAACCAUUUUUAUUCAACCUUUUGGCUAGUUUUACGUAAUUUUUUUCUCAUUGUUUGUAAUAUUUUUUACUGGCAACUUUGUUACGAAGAGCGUUAAAGACACGAAUCAGGAGAAGACACUAUGAAUGGAGAAGUGUGUGACGAUUCUAGGGAGAGUGGGCGACGACUCUACAGGAGAGUGGGCGAUGACUCGAAAUGGGUGAGGAGUAAAGAGGGCGACACUCUACGGGAGAGUGGACGAUGACUCAUUGCUCGUUGUUAAAUUAUUUAAAAGUGUCUGUCUAACUAAAACGUUUUUUAUAUAAUUAAUUAAUUAUUCAAUACAUUUAAAAAAAACUUGUUUCUCAUUUUGUAAAUUUUAAAACUUUUUUAGAUAAUGUUUUGUUAAAAUUGAUUUUAGAAAAAUUUUAAAUAGUUUUUGGAUUAUUUUUUCUGUUAACAAAGUUUAUUUUUAAUUUUAUAUGGCAGGAAAUGCAGGAAACAUUCCCAAGGCGCUCGACAACAACGUCCCACCCAAGUUGGUGUGAAUACUGUAUCAGCGUCUGGAUUUCUUGUAUCUUCUCCCGCACCAAAUUUUCAAACCUUGGUCUCUUGGGAAGUGCCAAUUACCAUGAGCGUCUCGGAGUUAGUUCAACAACCUAGACGAAAACUUCUGACGAGACUCCAUCCUCAUGAGCGGACGGUGCGAUGUGGUAAAUUUUUCUUUAUUUAAACUACACAUUCCUUUAAUUCUUUUUCUUAGGUUCAAUUACUCAAGCAACUGAAUUAGCGAAAGUAUUUUGAAGAUGAUGUAUAUAAUGCUGAAACACGCUUAUCUGACAUACAUGGACAAGACAAGGGAUGAUCGAUGUUAAUUCUUCUAAUUGUUUGAUUCAUGAUUAUUGACUCUUAACAGUUUUUAACUAAUAUUAUUUUUAUUUCUAUUUUAAUAAGAGUUCACUUGGAAACUGUAGCCCAUGACUCGAUCAGGUGGAAAAUGCAUUCCACCAUCAUGCACAAAAAGCAUGACAACUAUCAAAUCAAUGAGUAGAAACAGAAGCGGGUUGUCGGCAAGACGCCAAAGUCAAUCAACCCAAUUGUUUGGGAGGGAUUGAAGGAGUAUUUGGCAUUAACGAAUGCACAUGCUACUUUCUAGACCAACUCAGGUAACCGGCGUAGCGACCAUCGCUUGGUCAGGUUAGGUUGUGGAGCACAAUCCUUUUUUUUUAUCCAUGUCAGCUUUGUAUACUGCUGACCUCGAACUUGUUCAAGAGCUCAAGAAGAAAAUGUACGAAUGCGUUGGAGAAGAAAAAUGAAGCAAAUACGGCUCAUAAUGUGGGACACGCCCGUCAAAUCAUAGAGGACAACAAAUUCAUGCAAGCGAUGCGUCGUUGCAAGUUUGGCGACUUUCGGUUUUUUUUUUCAAACUCUUAAAUAUUGGUUUCUUGUUAAAAAUAUUAAAGUAUUUGGUUUAAUAUUUUCGAAUUAUAAAUAUUAAAUAUUUGAAUUUUAAAAAUUAUGUCGGGAAUUCGUUGGGAUAUUCAUCAGGAAUAAUUUCUGACAAACGUGUGAUCUCGUCGGGAGAAUUCUCGACGACCAAGAUCGUCGGAAGAAUUCUCGACGAAAUUUUUGGUUAUGAAAAAAAUUCCCAACGAACCUUUGGUCAUCAGAAAUAAUUAUUACUGAUAACUUAUCGAGAAAAACUACUCACGAGUCACGACCAAGUCGCGUUGGGAAUUCUUCUGACAGAAUUCCAACAACAUUUUCCAUGACCGAUUUUGUCGAAAAUUCUUUUGGAAAGUAGUUGUGGGGAAUUCAUUGCCGUCUUUUUAAAAAUCUCCUAAGAAUUUUUUGUCAAAUGAAAUAAAACCGAUAAAAAGUGGUUAUCGGAAAUCCGUGGAGAAAGAUAAUUCCCAAUGACUUUCCGACGAAUAUAGUCAUCGAGAAUAACUUGUUUUCUUGCAGUGUAUCUUCUGUAUGGCAUCCUCCACAGAUAUGACUAUCACAGAUUUUAAGUGGACCAUCCUUUUCUUCCAGGAUUAACUACGUGUAAGUGAGAUGACAUGCAUGAACUUGAGAAAAAGUACUUUGAUAUUAUUGAAAAAUUAUAUUUUUUUGGUAAGAUGCUAAGUAAAAUUAUAAAAUUUAGAAAACAAUUCCUGUAAAACAAUUAAAAAUAAGAAUAUAGAUCCAUAUGUAUGUGUUAACUAAUAGCGGGGAUAUAUUUAUAUAAUGUAUCUUAUUUCCGAUAACAAUUUACGAAUAAUAUGUAUUAAAGGAUCUCAUACCACGUAAGUAGUGUGAAACAUCAAAUGAUGACUACCUUAUGAAAUGAUUAAAUAAAUCUAUAGUAAAAAAAAAUCUACACAAACCGUAUAGGAUACAAAAUGAUACAUUGGUGCUCUUAUAUUUGAAUAUCUGAUGAACUAAUUAACUUAAGAUGAAAUCUGUGUUUUGUAGGUAAAAUUGUUUCUUGUUCUAUAAAGCAAUUACCACUAACAUUAUCGAAACCUUUUUGUUAAGUUAUGUAGUCUGUUUUCUUAUAGGGAUAAAAAAUUAAAACCUAAUUGCCAUAAAAAUAACCAAGAAGAAGCAACGAUAUAGAAAUUACAUAUAUAUCCAUAAAUCAGACAUUUGACAAUCCGAUAGAAAAUGUCUCAGACAGAAAUCCAAAGAGGAUAAAAACAGGCAAUUGGAAGUGAAAUGAGUAUAGAUUAUUAUAUGAUUGUUUUAGAAAGGAAAUUAAGCACCGGUGAAGCUUGGUGGCUUGUAGGCGAUGAAACUGAUGCACUGGACCUGACGGUUGUUGUCGAAUCCAAUGAUUCUAAUAAAGGCGUUAGGGUACUCCGUCUUGCACUCUUGCACUUCCUUCAACACUUGAGCAGAGUCAGUGCAUCCAAACAAAGGAAGCUUCCACAUUGUCCAAUAACGGCCAUCGUAGUAUCCAGGUGUGCUUCCAUGCUCACGGUACACAAAUCCGUGCUAUAUAGACAUACCAUUCAAAAUCAUGAUUCACAUGGUAUAAAAUGGAUGUUUAGAUACAAGUAAACAAAAUUUUGUUUUUAUUACCUCCAACUCAAAUUCAACACAAGGAAUCCACUUGUUGCGGAGAAGGUAGUCAACUUCUUUGGCCAAUUCAACGUCAGUAAGGUCAGGAAGAUAAGAGAGAGUCUCAAACUUCUUCUUUCCAACUGGUGGCCACACCUAUAAAUCCCAUUUGCAGUUAAUAAAUAGGAAUUCCCUUUUGUAUAUACACAUUUUUCAAUCCGGUACGUUAUUAUAUACUAUUGUUCACUCGGAUUUUCACAUGUACCAGUUCCACAUAAUAAAGGACGGGCCUACAAC